rnacentral:rRNA from 1 species
UCAAGGAAGAAGUUUUGACGGUACCAGAGGAAUAAGCCUCGGCUAACUCCCUCCCCCCCGCCGCGGUAAUACAGAGGAGGCAAGCUUUUUCCGGAAUCACUGGGCAUAAAGCGUCUGUAGGUGGUUUGAUAAAUUUUCUGUUAAAGACUAGGGGUUAACCCUAGGAAAGCAGUGGAAACUCUUAGACUUGAGUGUGGUAGAGGUAGGGGGAAUUCCCAGUGUAGCGGUGAAAUGCGUAGAUUUUAG